rnacentral:rRNA from 1 species
CAGUAGCCGCGGUAAUACGUAGGUGGCAAGCGUUGUCCGGAAUUAUUGGGCGUAAAGGGCUCGCAGGCGGUUUCUUAAGUCUGAUGUGAAAGCCCCCGGCUCAACCGGGGAGGGUCAUUGGAAACUGGGAAACUUGAGUGCAGAAGAGGAGAGUGGAAUUCCACGUGUAGCGGUGAAAUGCGUAGAGAUGUGGAGGAACACCAGUGGCGAAGGCGACUCUCUGGUCUGUAACUGACGCUGAGGAGCGAAAGCGUGGGGAGCGAACAGGAUUAGAUACCUCUGUAGUCCCUGUCUCUUAUAC